GUACCAGCUCUGGAGCACAAUGUAAAGAUACAAGAAUGUACUAGCAGCGGCUUUUUAUCUGCGAAACUGUUGAUGUUUUAAGAUUUGGGCUUCUGGAGGAUACGCCAUCAAACAGAAAUACUGGAAAUUGUAAUGCCGAUGAUGAUGGGAGUCCUAAUGAAAGUGAUCGGAAAACGCUACGGCCUCCAAGUUGUUCCAAAACAUUCAAUGUUGAAACUAGCCAUGCUGCAAAGUUUCCCAUGAAUUGAGCAU